rnacentral:rRNA from 1 species
GACGAACGCUGGCGGUGUGCCUAAUACAUGCAAGUCGAGCGCUGGCGGGGGAAGUAGUACUUCUGGAUGACUUGCGCACGGGUGAGUAACGCGUAUGUAACCUGCCUGCUAGCGGGGGAUAACUCGGGGAAACGAUAGCUAAUACCGCAUAAAAGAGGGUGUUGCAUUACAUUUGCUUAAAAGAUGCAUUUCGAUCACUAAUGGAUAUGCGUGCGUUGUAUUAGCUAGUGGGGUGGGUAACGGCUCAGCCAGGCGAAGAUACAUAUUCGACGUGGGAGGGUGAUCGACCCCACUGGGCCUGAGACACGGCCAAGACUCCUACGGGUGGCAGAAGUAGCGAUUAUUAGGAAAUGGAAGGAAGUGUGACCGAGAAACGCCGCGGGAGUGUAGAAGGUUUUCGGAUCGUAAAGCUCUGUUGUAAGAGAAGAACGAAUGUAAGAGUGGAAAGUUAACACUGUGAAGGUAUCUUAGGAGAAAGGGAUGGCUAACUCCGUG